UCAUCUGACUUUUGUUAGAUGGAGCAACAAUAGCUACAAGUUUGUACUAGUUUUCAUGAGUAGUUCCUUCAAAAACAAGGUGUGUCAAUGGCAUCUCUAACUGAGCUUUCAUUCAACUAGACGAGCUUUAUUAGUGCCAUGUUUUCCAACAUGUCCUUCACUUACAGGAGCAUCUAUUUAAAGAAAGCCAUGGUCUGGCAAUAUCUCUCUCUAUUCUUUAUAUCUGGAUUCUAAAAUUUAUCUAUCUAUCAAAUGAAGAUUGACCCCUUGUUUGUUGCAGACUGACAUGGAUAGCACCAAUAUCUACGCCUACAUUUCCAUCAUUGCACUCAUUGUUUGCAUUCUGUCAAAACAUUGUUAUAAAGCAUUGUUAUAAAACCUUUGAAUUUCUCUACUCAUGUAAUUGUCUAUGGGCUCAACUUGUAGCUUAGUAGCUUUGUUAUUAUGUCAAAACAUUGUUAUAAAACCUUUGAAUUUCUUCUCUUAAUACUUUAACUUGAAUGUCGGUUUAAGGAAAUAUCCAUGAGCCUUUUACAGCCUUUGUCUUUACCUCUUGCAUGCUCCAUGAAUUUCCUUGUUCAGCUUUCCUAUUCAUUUAUAAAGGAAUGCUUCACUCCAAAAUAGAUGAGCUAGGACUCAAAUCAUUCACUUCUUCUUCUUAUCCUACUUAUUUUAUCUUUGGACAGGUAUCAAGACCCAGUAUGCAUGACGAUUAUUUUCUUGAAGGAGCUGUGGCUAGAUAUAAAGGACUCAAAUUUAUUUCAGGUUUGCAACAUUUCCUCUAAAAAUUUUCUGUGUAUCAAGCAUUCAUUUAAAUGAUCAUGAUGUGCUCACAAGGAACAUCCUUCUUGAUCAAGUGAUUCUUUCCGUUGCGUGCAAAAAUGGUUAGAACUGACUGGUUAGGCUGAGUGCUUCCCUUGAAGAAUCUCCCAAAUAACAGG